rnacentral:rRNA from 1 species
CCUACGGGUGGCAGCAGUGGGGGAUAUUGCACAAUGGGGGAAACCCUGAUGCAGCGACGCCGCGUGGGUGAAGAAGCGCCUCGGCGCGUAAAGCCCUAUCAGCAGGGAAGAAAAUGACGGUACCUGAAGAAGAAGCCCCGGCUAACUACGUGCCAGCAGCCGCGGUAAUACGUAGGGGGCAAGCGUUAUCCGGAUUUACUGGGUGUAAAGGGGGCGCAGGCGGCGUUGCAAGCCAGGAGUGAAAGCCCGGGGCCCAACCCCGGGACUGCUCGUGGAACUGCGUGGCUAGAGUGCAGGAGGGGCAGGCGGAAUGCCGGGUGUAGCGGGGAAAUGCGUAGAUAUCAGGAGGAACACCGGUGGCGAAGGCGGCCUGCUGGACUGCAACUGACGUUGAGGCCCGAAAGCGUGGGGAGCAAACAGGAUUAGAUACCCGGGUAGUC